UACAGAGGGUGCAAGCGUUAAUCGGAAUUACUGGGCGUGAAGCGUGCGCAGGCGGUUUUGUAAGCCAGAUGUGAAAUCCCCGGGCUUAACCUGGGAAUGGCAUUUGGGACUGCAAGGCUUGAGUGCGGCAGAGGAGACUGGAAUUCCUGGUGUAGCAGUGAAAUGCGUAGAUAUCAGGAGGAAUACCGAUGGCGAAGGCAGGUCUCUGGGCUGACACUGACGCUCAUGCACGAAAGCGUGGGGAGCAAACAGG
rnacentral:rRNA from 1 species